AGCGAACGCUGGCGGCAGGCCUAACACAUGCAAGUCGAACGGAUCCUUCGGGAUUAGUGGCGGACGGGUGAGUAACACGUGGGAACGUGCCCUUUGGUUCGGAACAACUCAGGGAAACUUGAGCUAAUACCGGAUGUGCCCUUCGGGGGAAAGAUUUAUCGCCAUUGGAGCGGCCCGCGUCUGAUUAGCUAGUUGGUGAGGUAACGGCCCACCAAGGCGACGAUCAGUAGCUGGUCUGAGAGGAUGAUCAGCCACACUGGGACUGAGACACGGCCCAGACUCCUACGGGAGGCAGCAGUGGGGAAUCUUGCGCAGUGGGCGAAAGCCUGACGCAGCCAUGCCGCGUGAAUGAUGAAGGUCUUAGGAUUGUAAAAUUCUUUCAGCGGGGACGAUAAUGACGGUACCCGCAGAAGAAGCUCCGGCUAACUUCGUG
rnacentral:rRNA from 1 species